rnacentral:rRNA from 1 species
UNUUUAGAGUUUGAUCCCUGGCUCAGAACGAACGCUGGCGGCAGGCUUAACACAUGCAAGUCGAACGCCCCNCAAGGGGAGUGGCAGACGGGUGAGUAACGCGUGGGAACGUACCCUUUACUACNGAAUAACUCAGGGAAACUUGUGCUAAUACCGUAUGUGCCCUUCGGGGGAAAGAUUUAUCGGUAAAGGAUCGGCCCGCGUUGGAUUAGCUAGUUGGUGGGGUAAAGGCCUACCAAGGCGACGAUCCAUAGCUGGUCUGAGAGGAUGAUCAGCCACAUUGGGACUGAGACACGGCCCAAACUCCUACGGGAGGCAGCAGUGGGGAAUNGUUGNACAAUGGGCGCAAGCCUGAUCCAGCCAUGCCGCGUGAGUGAUUNAGGCCCUAGGGNAUAAAGCUCUUUCACUNUUNAAGAUAANNNNNNAACCGGAGAAGAAGNCCCGCAAUUCGC